GACGUAGGGCGCAAGCGUUGUUCGGAAUUACUGGGCGUAAAGCGCGUGUAGGCGGGUCCUUAAGUCAGGGGUGAAAUGCCGGAGCUCAACUUCGGAACUGCCUUUGAUACUGGGGAUCUUGAGUCCGGGAGAGGUGAGUGGAACUGCGAGUGUAGAGGUGAAAUUCGUAGAUAUUCGCAAGAACACCAGUGGCGAAGGCGGCUCACUGGCCCGGAACUGACGCUGAGACGCGAAAGCGUGGGGAGCAAACAGG
rnacentral:rRNA from 1 species